rnacentral:rRNA from 1 species
UACGGGAGGCAGCAGUGGGGAAUAUUGCACAAUGGGCGCAAGCCUGAUGCAGCCAUGCCGCGUGUAUGAAGAAGGCCUUCGGGUUGUAAAGUACUUUCAGUCGUGAGGAAGGUGUUAAGGUUAAUAACCUUAGCAAUUGACGUUAGCGACAGAAGAAGCACCGGCUAACUCCGUGCCAGCAGCCGCGGUAAUACGGAGGGUGCGAGCGUUAAUCGGAAUUACUGGGCGUAAAGGGCACGCAGGCGGUUAAUUAAGUUGGAUGUGAAAUCCCCGGGCUUAACCUGGGAAUGGCAUUCAAGACUGGUUAGCUAGAGUCUUGUAGAGGGGGGUAGAAUUCCAUGUGUAGCGGUGAAAUGCGUAGAGAUGUGGAGGAAUACCGGUGGCGAAGGCGGCCCCUGGGACAAAGACUGACGCUCAUGUGCGAAAGCGUGGGGAGCAAACAGGGAUUAGAUACC